AGUCAGAACCCCCAGGAAGAACUGUCAAGGAAAGAUAUGUUGUGGAUUGAGGGGACUGACAAAAAUUCUGAAUGAGAGUGGGAAGUGCAGAAGAUGCCAAAAGGAGAGACAGCACGUGUCUCAGGGUAAGGUCAACAGAGGCUGAAGAGACAUGGCAGUUUCAAGCAGAUUGCUCAGCUGAAUACCCUUAUAAACAUGCUGUUGGGGGAUUCACCCCGGGCGAUCAUCAGGAGAUCAUGACAAUGUGCACAGUUGAUGGACACAUGAGGGAUGUAGCAGUCGAGCUUGGAGCAGAGAAGGUGAUUUGUUGCAGAGCAAUUACCCUAAUGCAUUUUUAAAAGCAUAAAAUAAAGUAUCGUUUCAUUUGCUGAAAAGGUAUUUUAGGUGCUUCGGUAAAGCACUGACAGAAUAUUUUGAUUGUCAGCUUUUUCUUUUUUUUUAAGUUAGAUAAUUACAUUUACCAGUUAAAGAAUUGCCAU